CCCUAGUGAUGGACACAUUGAAGACGUUGCUGUGGCAUAUGAGCGAAGGAAACAAUGCAGGUGAGCAGAAUGAAAGUGUUGUCCCAAUAAAGUGCAUCGAUGGACAGCUGGGCAGCGGCCGGCUGAUUGACUUUGCCUUGACAUCUGGGAGGCCCGCUGGCCCCUGGCACGCGCGCAGGCUGAUGUCGCCAUUUACAUGCAAAUUUAAGGAGAUCAUGAGGGCCUCGCCCCGUAAAUUCACACAAAAAAAGAAGACGUCACCCUCAAUACGGAGGAGGCUCGUCCCGGCGAGACGGGAGGUCUUCGGAGUCACAGUGGACAUUUUUAUUGGGGAGCCACGCGCUCCAAGGAGUUUGGUUUUUCUAUCAAUGGUCAGGCCCGAAUCUGUGGGGGUUCAUUCAUCGUGGCCACUGAAUAGAAGAAUGAGAUAACAGCCAGCCGUGUCAUCAAGCGGUCAUUUAAAUGAUGCACAGAUACUUUGCACUUGUUUUCACCCAUCACUUACCUCCAGCGUGCACAGCUCUUACAAACAAGCUUUUAUUUUGUAAGGUGAGAAAUGAGAAAACCUGAUCCUCUAAUUCCACGCCAAAGUUGUCAUGCACGCAAGCUGCAGGAAAAAACAAACGAGGAUCAACAUUUUCCUUUAUUUUGAUGCUAUAACAUUUUCACCUAAUGAUGGAGAGCGCAUUUUCCACGGUGUAAGCCCACCACGCAGAUGAUCCCACAGAAUGAGCUGAGACGGAUUCAGGCUCCGCGCCUCAGUGUGCGCAGCAGCUGACUCCCUCUCUCCACGUCCAGAUGGCUCCUGCACACAGAUUUGCAUUCAUUUUCCUCUAAUAUCUUCUGAAAUAGCGGGGGCAGCUGCAUUUGUUGUCAAAUACGGUUUAAAAGUCCCUUUCAGGACAGCAUCGUUACCUACGUGACGGGUGUGGAGAUCCAUUUUCCCUCUCCAGUCAACAGUAUCAGAUCUAAGAGGAUUUGUCUCAAAGUCUCCUAAUUUGAUAAUCAGAUUUAAAUCGCCUUGGUGCGUGUAAUCAGGGGUUAAGUUCUAAUAAGCGACUUGAAAAUGUGCAGGGAAAAAGCUGGAGUUCUGUGCAAAAAAGAUAUUUGCAAUCUCGGUUGAACAGACAAAACAUUUGCAACACGCGUCUCGGUUUGUUUCAUCUGAAAGAAUAAAGAUUUUUUUUUCUUG